rnacentral:tRNA from 1 species
CCAUAGCUCAGUUGGUUAGAGCGACGGACUGUUAAUCCGCAGGUCCCUGGUUCGAGCCCAGGU